CUGGAAGCUGUGCCAAAGCUGAUCUUGUGUUUUCUUGAAAAGAACCCAUCAGAGCGGCGUUAGGCUGCAUCCUUCCGAGGGGCACGGACUCUCAGGUUUACCAUAGAUUCCGCCGCCCUCUGCUGUGGUUACUGUAACGUCUCUCUCUGUUUUGCAUCCCAUGCAGCCCUUUGGGCAUUUGAGUUUAAGCUCCUUGCCCGGGCCCUUGUAGACCACCCUCUCUGCCAAGCAGCAAGAUUGGCUCCAGAGUCUGGAGCUAAGCUCAAUCUGCUGGUUGGCGUUAAGUAAGCCCAGCUGUUUACGCUGGAGAAACAAGGGGGACAGAACUCUAAAUUAUUAGUAUGGUAUCUUUAGAAUGACAGGCAGUGGGGCUAUUGCUUGGCUUCUUUAAAAAAAGCAAGUUGGGUAGGCGCCUGUGAAUUCCCCUCCUUUUCCUGUUGGCCUUGACAGCAACUCCUCAAGCCCAGUGAGAUGAUGUCAUAAAACCGGCUCAACCUGUGGAAGGAUCAUGUACAAUCCAGUCUCCGUGGAGUUCUGCCUGCAGCUGUCCACUGAGACAGGCAGAGGACCCAAGCCUGGAGGGUGGCAGCUCUGGGGCAGGUGCAUGGAGACCUGUGGCGAGGGGCAAAGGUGCAGUGAGAAACGGCUGACAGCGGCACUGGAAUCUUUUCUUCAAGAGAAGUAUUUCAUGGAGGUCGCGGACGCAAUACGUAUAAAAGCAGCACACUGUGACAAGUAGGAGAGACAGAUGGAUCCCUACCAUCCAGGCUUUCCCUUCUCCCUACGGCUCGCGGGUACACAGGGGAAAACGUGUGAGUCUGGAGCUUGCUGAGAACUGUUGAAGAUGCUUUGAAAUAUGUCCAGGGUUUGCUUCAAGUCAAGGUUAUAGACUCUCCAAUCCAACUGUGCUCCUAAAGAUUCUGGGAUUUGAACAUGCUCUGUGGUUAAGGCUUAGAGGGCCUCAUUCAGAUUAAAAGGGCAUUUCUUUUUAUUAUUUUUUGGGUAAAUGCUUUGUUUGUUUGGUAAGCUUGAGGGAAGUUUUAGAAUUCAAAAAUUUCCCCCAAUGGCCUGUAAGAUGGUAGUUUAUCUAGAACAAUUUCCUUAAGAGGAAGUGCUUGUGAGCAUUCCAGGGUCCUAGGCACUUGGUUUCCUCUCUCAUUUCGCUUUCUUGUCCCUUGAGGUUUAUAGGGAAUGGUUUCUACUCUUGCUCGAUCACUCAGAGAUUCCGGAAUAUUGAUUUUAGCUAUCCUCCCUCAAAGCAGCACGUGCUUUGGGGCUCCUCUCUCAGGUAAACAAAAAGUAUAAAAAUGGCACCUGGGUCCCACAGCCUCCAGUCUCAGCUCUGCCGCUUUUGGAUGAGGCCAUGGGAGCUCCAAGAGGCCAAUUGAUUUUCGAAUGACAUAUGUCAUUCUUUUUUUGGUUUCUAACGUGUCAAAAUUAAAAUAUAGCUAAGCUAGUGAAGGAGAUUUGGAAAGCUCUAGGUGAGAUAGUCUGGCCUUUGAUGAAGGAGUUGUUAACGUAGGGAGAGAAGCUAAGGUUCAGCCCAGGUCAUCAGUCACCAGGUAGACAGCACGGAUUUAUCUGAUGUCAAAACCAAAUUUCAGUUUGCCUAGUAUUUCUGCUUUAUUCACAGGAUACUUUGGCACUGUGUAGAUAGCUUAGAUGAAGUCUCCUUGGAGGGAGAGCUCGCUGUAAAAUUAAAGAAAACAGCCCAUGUUUUAUUCUUGAUCCCAGGAUCA
rnacentral:lncRNA from 1 species